rnacentral:rRNA from 2 species
UGCAAGUCGAACGGAAAGGCCCCUUCGGGGGUGCUCGAGUGGCGAACGGGUGAGUAACACGUGGGUGAUCUGCCCUGCACUUUGGGAUAAGCCUGGGAAACUGGGUCUAAUACCGAAUAGGACCAUGGGAUGCAUGUCUUGUGGUGGAAAGCUUUUGCGGUGUGGGAUGGGCCCGCGGCCUAUCAGCUUGUUGGUGGGGUGAUGGCCUACCAAGGCGACGACGGGUAGCCGGCCUGAGAGGGUGUCCGGCCACACUGGGACUGAGAUACGGCCCAGACUCCUACGGGAGGCAGCAGUGGGGAAUAUUGCACAAUGGGCGCAAGCCUGAUGCAGCGACGCCGCGUGGGGGAUGACGGCCUUCGGGUUGUAAACCCCUUUCAGUACCGACGAAGCGUAAGUGACGGUAGGUACAGAAGAAGCACCGGCCAACUACGUGCCAGCAG